GGGUGAGCAAGAGGCUAGAGAGUGAGAAGCCAGCCUGGGUUAGUUACACAGCUAGACUCUGUCACAAGCAAGCAAGACUGCCUUGAAGAAGAAAGGAACCAAGGAGGCUGGAGGAAAAGACAGUGCCCACCUUCUCAGGCCAUGGGGUGGAGGGUCAGGUCCCCUUUAUUGGUGGGUGGUACCCCUGUUGCUCACUGCUCAGGACCUGAAGCUGAGGCUGCUCCUCUGUUACCCCUGCUCCCCCAAACUGGAGAAUUUUUAAUGCUGGUUCCACAGAACAAAGAAGUGUUUUUGUUUUGAGAGCUCUCUCUCUCUCUCUCUCUCUCCCUCUCUCUAUACACAUCUGCACAUGUGUGUGUUCAAGCCUGCAUGUGUAUGAAGGGAGUGAGUGCUACGGAGGCCAGUGACACUGUUUCUAGUUUCUUUGUCCUUAAUUCAUCUUCCAAACCCCUCUCUAUUCUCAACUUAAUAAAAACAAACAAACAAACAAACAAAACAAAGCCUGAAGGGGCAGGCAGGAAUCCCAGCUACGCCAGAGAUGGAGCAGAAGGAUCGAAAGUUCAAGGCCAGCCUGAGCUAUCAAAAGAGUUUAAGGCACAUGUGGGCAGCUUGGCCCUGCUUUAAAAUCGUUUGUUUGUUUUGAAGGUGUGGGGCAUCUCUGUUCCAAUGCUUGCCUCCCAUGUGCCAAGCCCCGAGUUCAAUCCGAGCGACUACAGAACAAAGCUGAAGUAGGACCUGGAGCCGGUAGUGUGGCUCACUUGGAAGAAUGCUUGCCCAGCGCCUCGUAAACCAGGCCCACACCUGUGGUCCCAGCACCUGGGAGAUGGAGAUGAGAUCAAGGUCAUUUUCAGCUACAGAUGAUUUUGAGUCCUGAUCCAGCAUGGGCUACCUGAGCUUCUGUGUCAAAGAGAAACAAAGAAACAAAAACUGAGGGCUCUCUUCACUCCUGGCCCCAGUGCUGGUGCUGGCUGAAGGUUCCAAGCGUCCCCACAUCUGUGUCCUCAUGGCACCUACCUGGCUCUGUGAGAUUCAAGCAUUUUUGCCAUUCAGAUGGGAAAGCAGGCACUGAGACAGAAAUGGUUUGGGGUGUCGCCCUCCCUCUAGCAGGUGGUGGAGUAGGGGGUGGGGCUCUUGACUCCCAUGACCUGCUGAGUCUUUGUUUCUGGUCUCUCCUCUCCCCAGUGAAUUUCUCAAACCUGCCAUUCUGCCUCCAGGAGAAUGUAAAAGUGUGGGUCUCACUGGUGACCUCAGAGGACCUGAGAAGGGGGAAGAGAAAGGGAGACAUAAACAGGGCUGUGAAGAGCAGGGCUUUUUCCAGACCUGACCCAGGGUGGGUCUUGUGCCUGCUGUGGUGGCUCUUGUACCCUCUGCUUAGCUUAUUUGGUGAAGGAUCAAUGCAUGUGACCAAACUCUCCAGGUGAGUAGUUCAUGGGACCCCUCAGGGACCUGGCUGAAGUAUUUUUACUGUCAUACCCAUUUCACAGGCAGGGUGGGCUUGCUUGAUGCCAGAAUAGACCCUUCUUAGUCCUGACCUCUAUAGAGGCACUUACCAGGUGUAGGUAGCCUCUGGGAUGCCCCCGACCCCUAGAGCUGGUUCAUGAGUAUGGUGUGUAUGGUGGACCCUCCACCCUGCUCUGGUGUAUCUCCUCAGCCUGAUUUCACAAGUGCCUGCCUUGUGACUGUCCCUCUAGGGACAACUGCAGCUCCUCCUGUACUUCUUUGCUGGGGUCUGCCUUCAGUUCCUAGUUUUCCAACCCUCUCUCCUUAAGGAGGAGGGGAUGAUCGUAUGAAGGGCACUCAUGAGCCAGGCUAUGCUCUGUAGCAGCGACAGUGACCUGACUGGCAGAUUUUCACUCUACAGACAUGUGUUUUCAUUUCAGCCACGUCUAAUGUAGGCCAGACCACUGUCCUCUAGGCCCCAAGAUCCUGCCGUCCAAGGUUUAGUUACAGACCAGCCCCCUUCCUCCCUGCCCCCGCCUCUGUGUGUGUGUGUGUGUGUGUGUGUGUGUGUGUGUGUGUGUGUAGAUGGUAGAGUCCGGAUGGUUUUCUCUUAAGAUUUAUUAUUUACUAUGUGUCUGUGUGAGUGAUUGCCAAAUGUGUUUAGGUGCCUGCAGAGGCCAGAAGAGGGUGUUGGAUCCCCUGAGGUUAUAGGUGUUUGAAUGCUUAGUUGGGUGCUAAGAACUGAACUUGGGUCUUCUGCAAGAGGAGCAAGGAAGUACCCUUUUCCUGAGCCACCUCUCCAGCUGUUUUUUGCCCAUUUGUUUAUAAAUAUAAUGGAUUUUAUUUUUGAGAAUUUUAUGCACAUAUACAAUGUAUUUUUUUUUACCAUAUUCACCCCCACUGGUCUCCCUAACCUCCCCCAUAUUUACCCCACUUCCAACUUUGUGUCUUCUAAAAAAUAAUAAAUCUAAGCCACUGAGUCCAGCUGCACUGUGCACACAUCUAUGGGUACAAUGCUGUCCACUACGGCGUGCUGGACCUCUCAGAAGCC
rnacentral:lncRNA from 1 species